UUAUAAGAGACAGCAGUCGCCGCGGUAAAACGGAGGAUCCAAGCGUUAUCCGGAAUCAUUGGGUUUAAAGGGUCCGUAGGCGGUUUAGUAAGUCAGUGGUGAAAGCCCAUCGCUCAACGGUGGAACGGCCAUUGAUACUGCUGAACUUGAAUUAUUAGGAAGUAACUAGAAUAUGUAGUGUAGCGGUGAAAUGCUUAGAGAUUACAUGGAAUACCAAUUGCGAAGGCAGGUUACUACUAAUUGAUUGACGCUGAUGGACGAAAGCGUGGGGAGCGAACAGGAUUAGAUACCCCGGUAGUCCCUGUCUCUUAUAC
rnacentral:rRNA from 1 species